rnacentral:rRNA from 1 species
GGCGCACGGGUGAGUAACACGUGAAUCACAUGCCCUUGAGAGGGGGAUAGCCCAGGGAAACUUGGAUUAAUACCUCAUGGUCUCGCAAGAGUAAACGGUGGCCGCAAGGCUGUCGCUCAAGGAUUGGUUCGCGCCCUAUCAGCUUGUUGGCGGGGUAACGGCCCACCAAGGCUACGACGGGUACCUGGUUUGAGAGGACGAUCAGGCACACUGGAACUGAGACACGGUCCAG